UAGGCACUACAAUUCCCUAAGAAAUUCAUUUUCAAAACAUCUAAGCGACUUUCGGGAGCUCCUUGGGGGAAAUGUUACGAAGGGAGUGGGCAGGUAAAGACGGGAUGCGAGGGGAUUAUGUUCACGAAGCGAUGUGUAGGCUCCUCUAUUCGAAGGACCUCGGGGAGCCCCUCAGCUCCCAGGAGAGCUGCUGCAGCCACUUCAAUUCUCCACUACAGAAGGGGCGGAGGUGGCCCCUGGAGGGUGGCGAUGGGAACGGGGCUCAUCUUUAGUCUGGUGGCCUCUCGCUGGGUGUCGAGGGGGUGUAACUGGCUUCAAGAAAAGAGCUAGGGAGUUGAAAUGCCAGACAGGGCAGAGAACGGAGAGGUGGCCCAACGGACUUAACGGCGUGCGGCGAGGAACUGCCUGCCGGCAAUCCGCUAACUAGUGAGGAUUGAUUGACUCUUUCUGUCAUCAGCAUCCUUGGAACCCCUACCCCUCCUCAGGACUCCCGACUUUUCGCUCGCCACUGGCCGGGGGCCGCGGGCGCAGGGCUGGGCGUGCGUGUGUAGCUGCGCGCGCGCGGGUGUGCGCGCCUGUGUGUGUGCGCAGCCCGAGCUCUGAGCCCGGCUGCCAAGCCCCAGCCGGCUAUCCUGCGUCCCGCCUUGCAGCCGCCUCCUCAAAGCCUCCUCACCUGGCGCCGCCGCCCGCCGCCCGCCCAGCCCCGCACCGGCGCUGCCUCCCCUGAAAGUUUCCCCAGCGUAGACACCUUCGCGCUGCAGCAGCCCAGGGAGACGGUGUUCCGAAGCUGUGCCUUGGAGUGGCUCUUCUUACACCUUUCCGCCUCAUCCCCACCUAAUUCGGGCAGGGAGUAGAAAUUUUUCCAAAUUAAGGGGAGAAAGGGGGGAGGGGCAUUAUCGAGAGAAAGCAAGAGGAGCGGCCGCAACUGAGAAUAUCCUGCCUGAUGCCAGGGAAUUGACUGACGUGUCUGUGGGGUUACGGAAGAAAACUGAAUAGGCAGCCAAGUUGGCCCAGGAGGGGCUGGGAGGCUUCCGGGUGCCGGGAAGGUGGUCCCGGUCUCCAUUUCCACUGGUACGAAGGCUUGGAGGCGCCUCUAUGGUGAGGGCUUUUGAACCGCCAUCCCCUCCUGAUCCCUUGGAAAGGAGGAGCCUUCAGAGCUGAGGAGGGGGAAGUCCAGGAAAAGCCCCUGGACUUGUGUGCGUCGCAUCCUUGGCUUGGGAUUUUAAGGACACGAAGGAGAAUUAACAGCGCCUCAAGCAAUAUCAGCUACUUUUGAGAUUGUGACAUAUAUGU
rnacentral:lncRNA from 10 species